rnacentral:rRNA from 1 species
UACGGGGGGGGCAAGCGUUGUUCGGAAUUACUGGGCGUAAAGGGUUCGUAGGUGGCCAACUAAGUCAGACGUGAAAUCCCUCAGCUUAACUGGGGAACUGCGUCUGAUACUGGUUGGCUUGAGUGCAGGAGAGGAAUGCGGAAUUCCAGGUGUAGCGGUGAAAUGCGUAGAUAUCAGGAGGAACACCGGUGGUGUAAGCGGCUCUCUGGACCGUAACUGACGCUGAGGCACGAAAGCGUGGGUAGCAAACAGG